UGGCGGUCAACUUAAAAAGACCAACAAAAAACAAUUUGGGAUCGAAAGGGGGAAAUUAGGGUUUGACAAUCGACAUGGAUAGAAAAUCAAGCGACGGCGAGAAAAGGGAGGAAUCGUCGAUGGAGACGGAGCCGAUGGAAACUUCCACCGGCGUUGACACUUCCUUGCUAGGGAAGCGCAAGUUGGAGGAAACAAAAGACCUGGAGGAUGAUUCCGGUGAAGAGGCAAUGGAGGAGGAGGAAGAUGAAGUGGAGGAAGAGGAGGAGGAGGAGGAAGGUAGUGAUUUCUAUUGGGAGAAGGAUAGUUUUUCGAUGGCCGGGAAUAUCAUUCUUCUGAUGACGACAGUGAGUACUCAGACGAGGAUCUACGGGAAAAAGCACGUUAUUACUAUCGCACGGUCAUCGAAACCAAGGGUUUCUCUGAGUCAUCGAAUAAGCUCCCCAUGUACCUUUGGUCUGGAAUUGGUGUGGUCUCGAAGCGGGAUCUUGACACCAGUCGUGAGUUCAUCGGGAACAUGGUGUCUGAAUGUGUUGAAAAACACAACCGAAGAAACAAUAAGAAUGUGAGGUUCGAGCAUUUAUUGAGGGCUAAUUUCGACCCAGGAGCCAAGACUAAGUACUACAUCACCUUUGCUGCAAAAGAAACCGACUCUCCUGAUGCGCCUCUCGUGGAGUAUCAAGCUAAGGUGGUUUGGUCUGCUGGCAUUACUUACCCCAUCUUUUGCAGACCCGCUCCACCACCUAAACAGGGGUUCCGUGGAUCACAAGGUCUUUUGUGAUGAUCCAUUUCAACUGUAUUUAUUACCUAUGGAGCCUUGUCUUCAAACAAUGUGGAGUCCCAAGGAUUUUCGUCAUAACUCACGCUGAUUCUCUUUGCAUCUAUUGUCCUGCCUUUCACAAGAUGUGUCUUUCAAAUGUGAUGAUGAUAUGUUAGUCCAGUUGUGAGAAAGCAAAACAAAAAUAAUUUAAAACAAAGAAAACAGAAAUAAUAAUUUAUAAGAUCAAUUUCUUUUA